GGAAUUCAACAGCGCAUACUAAUUCUCAAAUCAGUGUUUAUAAAACAGUAAUCUACCUGCGUAACCGACGAAAGCACAUCCGCCUGUGGAUCAUUCCUCGGCACCGGAUUCGGCGACGAUCCAAAUCCAACAUACUUCCCUCCCUGCGAAGGCGGCAAUCCCUCGGGUUUCGACUCAUUCUCCGCCAUCUUCCGCGCAAAAAACCCCUCCUUCCCCGCCGCAGACGCCUCCAAUUGCGCCCGUGUAUACAUAUCCUCAUUCGAUCUCGACCUAACCGGCACCCCACCCCCACCCCUAACCCCACUCCUAACAUCUCCACUACUCAUAUUCCUCCUAAUAUUACUAUCCUCAUUAGAUCCAAACCCUCGCUCCUCAAAUCCACUAUUCCCCCAAUCACUAUCCCAACCACCACCACCGCCACCACUCGCCGCCGACAACGGCGGCUUCCUACCACCACUACCACCACCGCCACCAGAUUUCACCGUCUCCUUCACCACCGGCGGAUCCUGCCACGAUUUACCAUCAGCUAGGGCUUGGAUCCGGUCUCUAUAAACCUUCGCAGCAUUCGUAUUAUACUUCGUAACAAUAUCAGUCUCUUUCGCAAUCCCAUACUUCGCUAAGAACUUAUUUAGGGUUUCGUUACCGCCGGACUCCAUUUUCCGGAGCUGGAUCUCAGACCAGGAGUCCAUAGUGACAGAUCUGACAAACGAGAUGUGAACGCCGAGGCCGCGGUGCUUGCCGGAACAUUCUAGACACAUGAAGAUGCCGUAGGAAACGGAGGCCCACUGAGGGUUUUUUUGGGAGCAAUCGACGCAGAUUUUGUUGCCUGGUUGCGAUUGGAGGUCCCGGAGCCGCCGUGACGCCGCCAUGAUCGGAGAUCUGGAUCGGAGAGGGUAGAUCUGGUGGAGGAUUUGGGGGUUUUGAGAUGUGAGGGUGAAAUGUGGUAUUGGGAUAUUAGUUCAUCAAUCAAGUUGUGGAGAUUAAAGUAA
rnacentral:lncRNA from 1 species